UUAACAAGAAUGUUUGGGGCAAAUCCCAGUGGGAAAGUCUGCUUCGGCAGACUACUAAACAUCCUGACC
rnacentral:ncRNA from 1 species